CGGAGGAGUCCAAGCGUUAUCCGGAUUCAUUGGGUUUAAAGGGUGCGUAGCGGAACGAUAAGUCAGUGGUGAAAGCCUGCAGCUUUACUGCAGAACUGCCAUUGAUACUGUCGAUCUUGAGUACAUUUGAUGAGGGCGGAAUGUGUCAUGUAGCGGUGAAAUGCUUAGAUAUGACACAGAACACCGAUUGCGAAGGCAGCUCUCAAAACUGUAACUGACGCUGAGGCACGAAAGCGUGGGUAUCAAACAGGAUUAGAUACCCUGGUAGUCCACGCUGUAAACUAUGAUCACUCGAUGUUUGCGAUAUACUGUAAGCGUCUAAGCGAAAGCGAUAAGUGAUCCACCUGGGGAGUACGCUCGCAAGAGUG
rnacentral:rRNA from 1 species